rnacentral:misc_RNA from 1 species
GAUGAAGAACUCAGCGAAAUGCGAUAAGUAAUGCGAAUUGCAGAAUUCCAGUGAGUCAUCGAAUCUUUGAACGCACAUUGCGCCCUUUGGUAUUCCGAAGGGCAUGCCUGUUCGAGCGUCAUUAUCACCCCUCAAGCCCUCGGCUUGGUGUUGGACGGUUUGGUGGAGGCCCCCUCGGGGGUUCCUGCCCCUCCCAAAGACAAUGACGGCGGCCUCGUUGGACCCCCGGUAUACUGAGUUCUUCACGGGACACGUAUCGGACACAUGGGUUUACGGGACACGGUCUGCCUCCCCUCAGGGAGAAUCUUUCUAAGGUUGACCUCGGAUCAGGUAGGGAUACCCGCUGAACUUAAGCAUAUCAAUAAGCGGAGGA